UACGUAGGGGGCAAGCGUUGUCCGGAUUUACUGGGCGUAAAGAGCGCGUAGGCGGAAAUUUAAGCGUGGCCUGAAAGCCCCCGGCUCAACCGGGGAGUGCGGCUGCGAACUGGAUUUCUUGAGGACGAUAGAGGAGAGUGGAAUUCCUGGUGUAGCGGUGAAAUGCGUAGAUAUCAGGAGGAACACCGGUGGCGAAGGCGGCAUCCUGGACCGACACUGACGCUGAGGAGCGAAAGCCAGGGGAGCAAACGGG
rnacentral:rRNA from 1 species